CCACUCGUCAACUGAUGCAGAACUUAGAACAUUUUUUGCUUGAGAUAUUUAUUGACAGGCAUAGAGGGGGAGACAUUUAAUAAGCGGAGAAAGGAUUAUGAUGAGGAGUUGUUAGAAUACAUAGUACUUUCCAGUUUAUUUUUUUAUAUAAAAACAAAACACAUUGUGUUUAUGAGCUCAGACCAAUGUAAACAUUAUCCACAAUGCGAUUUCCAUCAUUUAAAAAGCUUACUCAUGCGCAGAGCCUCUGUUGCAGAACAAAAUUUCCGAACUUCUCUGCGGAAAUCCUGAAGUUUGCGGAGCUCCCUGCGGUGCACUACUGAGGAAGGUUUUCGAACAUACUUUACGGCACUGAGCAGCUUAUCAGCCAAGUAAUGCAGCCACAGGACAUUGGAGUAUGGAUUAUAGGAGGACCACAUAUUCCUGAAAACAAAUAGGAAAUAUUUUAAGGAGCAGAGACAGAAGGCCGGUGGACAUAUUGCUGAAGAAAUGGUGUGUGGAGCAUAGUGCUAAUACAAGAUAUAGGCUACAAGCCAUUUGGCAUCAGGAAUAUAACAGGGGCUAGUUCACUCAUGAUGAGAAUGCCAUGUGUAUUCUCUGGAGGAUCUGGGUCAAGGUAAUCUGAGG